AAGGCCUAUUCCUUGUGAAAGUCAAACAUUUCAUUUCAACACAUUUAAGGUAUUACACUUUUCCUCCCUGGUACAUAGAUGUCAACCCUACAACACCCCAGAUUCCUUCCAAGCACACUGAUAUAAGCUCCACAGUACCUCAGACUGGGUAAAGAACUGCCAGUCCAUGAAGAUCUUCAUAAAGUCCAAAAUAUGUUGCCUGUCUUCUGCAAACAAUGAAGUCACGAAGAAAAUUCCUUUCUACUGAAAUGCAUCAAAGGAUCCAUCCCCAUGAGCUAUCAACGCUCAUAAAGCCUCCUUUCACAGCUACCCCAGUGUCUCCUGCAGCUGUUUUGCUGCUGCUGCUAUUUCUGCAUUCAUUGCAACCCCAAUAGAGAGAGACAGAACAAAGCAAAAAGUACAUGUCACUAAAAGUAUUAUUUGGAUCUGCUACACGUCCCUCUUUUUUGUGGAUGAACAUGUUAGAGGGGAUGAGAUUUAUAUCUAUGAAACCUCAACUACAAACAGAGGCAAUUUCAGAUUGAGUUGAACUCCUUUAUUCUUUUAAAGAUACUUACUGAUCCAGUUGAAUAAAUCCAUGACAGAAAAAUGUUCUUUCAUU
ensembl:lncRNA